rnacentral:rRNA from 1 species
GAUGAACGCUGGCGGCGUGCCUAAUACAUGCAAGUCGAGCGAACGGACGAGAAGCUUGCUUCUCUGAUGUUAGCGGCGGACGGGUGAGUAACACGUGGAUAACCUACCUAUAAGACUGGGAUAACUUCGGGAAACCGGAGCUAAUACCGGAUGAUAUUUUGAACCGCAUGGUUCAAAAGUGAAAGACGGUCUUGCUGUCACUUAUAGAUGGAUCCGCGCUGCAUUAGCUAGUGGGUAAGGUAACGGCUUACCAAGGCAACGAUGCAUAGCCGACCUGAGAGGGUGAUCGGCCACACUGGAACUGAGACACGGUCCAGACUCCUACGGGAGGCAGCAGUAGGGAAUCUUCCGCAAUGGGCGAAAGCCUGACGGAGCAAUGCCGCGUGAGUGAUGAAGGUCUUCGGAUCGUAAAACUCUGUUAUUAGGGAAGAACAUAUGUGUAAGUAACUGUGCACAUCUUGACGGUACCUAAUCAGAAAGCCACGGCUAACCACGUG